rnacentral:rRNA from 1 species
CAGCAGCCACGGUAACACGUAGGGUGCAAGCGUUAAUCGGAAUUACUGGGCGUAAAGCGUGCGCAGGCGGUUAUAUAAGACAGAUGUGAAAUCCCCGGGCUCAACCUGGGAACUGCAUUUGUGACUGUAUAGCUAGAGUACGGCAGAGGGGGAUGGAAUUCCGCGUGUAGCAGUGAAAUGCGUAGAUAUGCGGAGGAACACCGAUGGCGAAGGCAAUCCCCUGGGCCUGUACUGACGCUCAUGCACGAAAGCGUGGGGAGCAAACAGGAUUAGAUACCCCGGUAGUCCCUGUCUCUUAUAC